rfam:Perkinsus marinus ATCC 50983 gcontig_1104296696874, whole genome shotgun sequence.
GCCCGAUUAGUUCAGCUGGAUAGAAUGUCUGCCUACGGAGCAGAUGGUCGUAGGUCCGAAUCCUGCAUCGGGUA